AUGACGUUGGGAAAGCGAGCGGCGGAUGGGUGAGUAACACGUGGGGAACCUGCCCCUAAGUCUGGGAUACCAUUUGGAAACAGGUGCUAAUACCGGAUAAUAAAGCAGAUCGCAUGAUCAGCUUUUGAAAGGCGGCGUAAGCUGUCGCUAAGGGAUGGCCCCGCGGUGCAUUAGCUAGUUGGUAAGGUAACGGCUUACCAAGGCGACGAUGCAUAGCCGAGUUGAGAGACUGAUCGGCCACAUUGGGACUGAGACACGGCCCAAACUCCUACGGGAGGCAGCAGUAGGGAAUCUUCCACAAUGGACGCAAGUCUGAUGGAGCAACGCCGCGUGAGUGAAGAAGGUUUUCGGAUCGUAAAGCUCUGUUGUUGGUGAAGAAGGAUAGAGGUAGUAACUGGCCUUUAUUUGACGGUAAUCAACCAGAAAGUCACGGCUAACUACGUGCCAGCAGCCGCGGUAAUACGUAGGUGGCAAGCGUUGUCCGGAUUUAUUGGGCGUAAAGCGAGCGCAGGCGGAAAAAUAAGUCUAAUGUGAAAGCCCUCGGCUUAACCGAGGAACUGCAUCGGAAACUGUUUUUCUUGAGUGCAGAAGAGGAGAGUGGAACUCCAUGUGUAGCGGUGGAAUGCGUAGAUAUAUGGAAGAACACCAGUGGCGAAGGCGGCUCUCUGGUCUGCAACUGACGCUGAGGCUCGAAAGCAUGGGUAGCGAACAGGAUU
rnacentral:rRNA from 1 species